AAUUGAGACCCCCCUUCAUCCUUCAGAGCCCCCGGAGGGUGCCCGUGGGCCACGUCUGGUUUACCUGCCACCUUUGAGACAGUCCUCGUUUGUGAACAUUCUAUUACAACAGCCGGAAUAAAAUCCUAAUUGGUGCCUUUUCCAGGAGGCAUGGAGAUAGAGGUGGGAGACAUAUCAUUUAGACUGUCAAACCAUGUGACUGCAUGGCCUACUUUAAAAUUUUUAACUUAAAGUACAAAAGAAGCAAGAGAGAUUUCUGAUUAACGAAUGGCUAACCUGGGGACUUCUCAUCGUGGCUCGGUGGUAAUGAAUCCCAACUCGUAUUUAUGAAGAUGUAGGUUUGAUCCCUGGCCUCGCUCAGUUGCCGUGAGCCGUGGUGUAGGUCGCAGAUGCGGCUUGGAUCUGGUGUUGCUGUGGCUGUGGUGUAGGCCGGCAGCUGCAGCUCUGAUAUUCGACCCCUAGCCCGGGAACCUCCAAAUGCUGCAGGUGCGGGCCUAAAAAACAACACCAAACAAACAAAAAGGCUAAACUGGACGUUCCGUGCUGAUCUAGAACACAGAAAUUUUAAUUAUUUCAUUAACAAAUGCGUAAGGAUAAAACGGUCCCAGGAGUGAUUAAUAUGAGGGUUCUAUGAUUAGAGCCCCUAGGAGUGUAAAGAAAAGCUAUUAUAAUUUUUGACUGAUUGUAUUGAGAUGAUUUUUUCAUGCAUUUUAUUGCAUGGCGGUUAAGAAUACUCUAAAUGACUUUAAAGUCCAACGGCCCAGGUCUGACUUCAUCUCUUAUUUGGGACAAGUUGCUUAACUUCUCUGGCCUUGAGUUUCUUCAUUUAUAAAAUGGUUGAAUGCACCUCACGUAUAGGGUCAAAGGAGUUUAUAGAAAGGUUUUAGUCCUGCAAAGGGCCAGUUAUCAUUAUUUCUAAUGACUUAAUGGUUUCUAGAAUUAGAAAUUCUGCCCUGGGGUCCUGGCAUGGGAGUAGCCCGAUGGUCAUUGCAUCACAAUAGGGAACCCAGAAGUAGAUUGACGGUAAGACUGCUGUCCACUUGCUUUGCAUGGUGCCCCAUAGCACUGGUUUACAAACAGCAUCUGUUCUGACUGGCUCAUGCACACACUGCCCUGUGGUUUAUAUUCAGAAUAUACCCCUGGUCCCGGGACACAUGGAAAAAAGGUAGUACAUGCAAAUGUUGUACAUCAAUUCAGUGGUUAAGGAGGAUGGGUUUCGCUGGCAAACACUCACUCUAUACAUGGUCGAAGAAGAAGUAAGACCAUUAUCUUAUACUACAUAAACAUACAUUUCAGAUGAACUUGAGACUUAGGUGAAAAAAACGUAUCAAUGGAAAUUUAGCCCUAAACAUCGGAGAAUCUUUUAACAGGAAACCCAGAGCUGUAAAAGUAAUGGUAAAUAAUUACUCAAUUAAAACACACACACACACACACACACACCCCAAAAAACCAUAUAUAGUGUGGAAAAAGUACUACAAAAUUCAAUAGACAAAUGAUAGAUUAGGAAAAAAUAUUCCCAAUGCAUGUGAAAAAUGAAGGGUUAAGAACUUUAUUAUACAAAAGGCUAUUUUUAUUUAUUUUAAUUUAUUUAUUUUUUUGCCUUUCCUAGGGCAGCUCCUGCGUCAUAUGGAGGUUCCCAGGCUAGGGGUCUAAUCGGAGCUAUAGCUCCUGCACCAGAGCCACAGCAACACGGGGAUCCGAGCCGCAUCUGCAGCCUACAUCCCCAACCCACUGAGCAAGGCCAGGGACCGAACCCGCAACCUCAUGGUUCCUAGUUGGGUUUGUUAACCACUACGCCACAACGGGAACUCCAAAAAGCUAUUUUUUAAAAGUAACCUUAUAGAAAAUGGACAAAAUGUGAAAAGAUAAUAUAUGUAAGAGCAAAACCAGGAUGGUCACUGAACACAGAUGACACCACCGAGGAUCAGGGGACUGCAAACUGGAGGAACAGUGACUUCGCCGUUCCUUCACGGACAUCAGACUGGCAAAAUCAGAAGGGAGCUAACAACCCCUGCUUUCAGGAGCAUGUGGAAGGGGUGCUCGCACACUGCUGGUGGCAUUAUGCAUUCCUCCAGGAUUUUGGAAAGCAAAAUUAAAUUUUAAAGAUGUCCUUUUCCACUCAUACAAAUAAUUUUUCACUUAAAUGAAAGCCCCAGUAUGCAAGAGGUAUGUGGAUGUUUAUUGAAUCCCUGUUUGCCACUGGCUAAAACCGUACAAAUCAGGCAUUCGGCCGGUAUGGUCCAUCCUCUCAGUGGAACAAUUACGCAGUCACUGAACAGGACGCGGUUAGGAAGACACAGUUUUCGCAGGAAUCUCCACGGCCGAGUUUAGAUCAGGCACACAAAAUGCAGAGAAGCAUCUAUUCCACACACAGACACACAUGCACACACAGCAGAAAUUCAUCUGAUUAUAUAAAUAUGGGGAAAGAAAAGGACAUAUCUGUAGCACAUUUUUUAUAUUGAUUCCCUGGGAUGUACCAAACCACCAGCCAAGCAAUAGUUUUUAAAUGUUAAGUGCCCUGGAGCACUCCCGUCGUGGCUCAGCCGGUUAACGAACCCAGCUAGUACCCGUGAGGACACGGGAUCCAUCCCUGGCUCGGAUCUGGCGUUGCUGUGGCUGUGGUGAGGCCGGCGGCCACAGCUCCAAUUCAACUCCUAGCGUGAACCUCCAUGUGCCUCGGGUGCGGCCCUAAAAAGACAAGAAAAUAAAUACAUUGGUGAAAUUCUUUUAUAAAAGUUAAAUUAUAAUCCUGAAAAGAACUCUGUUAUAACAAGUUAUAUAAUAUUGCACAUCAACAACACUUGGGUAAAACUUACAUAUAAUAAAACCAUUUUUCACAACUGGUUUUAUAGGGAGAGAACACUGGGCAGUGAAAGCGGAUUCAGAAUAAGCGCGUGAGGGAUUAGGCAGCGAGAGAGAGCGCUGUUUCUGUCUGGACACACCCACUGUCUACAGCGUAACUGGACACACACACCCCAGUUUUCUCUUUUCUGGCUCCCCUGGGCUUCUACCUCCCAGCCCUCUCACCAUUGUCUGCCUGCUCCAUCUUUUUCCUUUUUGCCCGAAACAUCUGCAUGGUUUUCUUGAGUAUUAUGAUCCAGUUCCUUUUCUUUCACAAUAAGAGGCUUAUUGGGAUCUAAGUUUUAAUAAAUGUAUUCUCUCUUCAGUGACCAGGGUGUUGAAAAGCAAAAAGUACAAGCCCAGCUGAGUUUCUCAGCCGUUCUCGGUCCCUGGAGGGAUGCAUGGGCGUGGAGCCGUGGAUCAGGUCAGCACCGGACAGGGCCACCCCUGCUGGCUGGAAGCCUCACUUUGUCCCUGACAGGCCCAUUCUGCCUUUCUAGGGGUUGGAAACGCACGCUGGUGUCACAAGUGCCUCUCCCGUAGGGUGGCUGUAAAACUUUAGCCAUGUGUUUGUAGCAUUUUCCACCCAUUGCUGAAAGAGUUGAGGAAAUCCAGUGUUAAAUCUUGUUCCUGUGACUGCUGUGAUUCAUUUUGCUUUAGUGAUGCAACAGGUGAAAAAACAAUGGUUGCUUAUGAUCAGGACAAGGGUGAGAUUUGUAUAUGACCUAAAGAAUUGUCAUCUAUUUUUCCGUGACAAAAAUCUUAUUCAAAGGGCUCUCUGUAGUGAUUGGAUGUCAAUGCUUUUUCAAAUCAGAGCAUCUGUUUUGAUGCUUUGCAAAAUUCCAGUUGCUUUCUGCAGCUUCCGUAUUGACAGGGGCUAUCAGGCUUUCCCAAGAGGGUCUUAUCUGCAAGCUGCAGCAGGGACCCAGAGAGCUGCCAGACAGGUUUAGUGGGAUUGCAGGGCUGCCUGAGAGCUGGAGGCCAGGCUGGGUGCACUCAGCUCUCUCCUUUCAAGGCCUGCAGGCUUUGACCUGUAAGUAGGUGCCUACACAGGGUCUAAUCUGUCACACAAAAAUGCCUUAGCCAAAGUGGUAAUGCCCCUUAUUACCUGGCUUAGCAACAAUCUCAAGACACAUAUUUUGAGAGGUUCUUGUAUAAGCGAAACUAUGCCUGGUAUGUCUAUAAAACCCUCUUAAGAGAUGAUACAAUGAUGCAAAUUUAUUUAGAGCAGCCAAUGAGAACAAGUCCCUGCCUACCCCAGCUCUCAGGAGCAGCCCCAAAAUAACAAACCAACAGGUGCCCUUGGCGGGUGACGCCCUUUAGACUGAGCGCCAGUGUUCUGUUCUUGGGGACCGUGUUGUGCUCACGGGGGACGGCUUUUACCCUCUCUCCUCAUCGUGAUUUAUUCUUAAUGCCUUCAUUUAAAACAUACUUUAAUUUUUAAUGUUUUCUUGAUAGUUCAGAGAACCGUUUUCAAUUUGGGGAAAAAACCACUUCCUAAAAUUGGAGUGAACUUUGAUAUAACCUUAAAAGUAAAUUCCUGGUAAGAUUUGUUCUUUUAUUCUUAAAAUGGAGGCAGAUUGGGUAACACAUUGAAAGUAGGCCAUUGGCAAGUUAUUUGGGGGGAAAAGUAAUUAGAGGAGAGAUUAGGAGGUCCAUUCAACAAACACUAUAAAUAUUUGUAAUAGCUGUAACAGCACCUUCUAAUAACAAAAGCCUUUAUCAGAAUAGCCUUCCUCCUUUGCAGUGGGGGGGAACACCUGGGCCAUUCUGUCCCCUCCCCCCGCCCCCCGCCCCACGCAUCAAAGCCUCGGCUCAGUAUCACCAAUGAGAUAAACUACUAAAACACUGUCUUCCUUAAGGUGCAUUGCACCGAUGAGUUAUUGUUAAUAUUCUACAAGGGAAACAAGUUACAUUUACAAGUUACUUAAUACAUAUGGCAAGGUGCUCUCUCUGUCUGUUUUAGUAAAAGACAAAUAAGUGUUUACUGAGAGAAGGGUGAAGAUGGGUGUAGAGGAAGCAGGGUAGGCUCUGGGGUGGGGAGGGCACGAGGGGAGGGCGUGGCGUGUGGGGAGGGUUAGACAGAACAAGAGGAAGAGCAGGUAGCCUCUUAAGAAAUAUACUUUAAUGGAACUGGUUCCUUUGUGGUGGAAAAUAAUUAUUUGAAGGUAAACAAUGACUUAUGAGCCUUUCUUUUCCUUUCCUUUUUUUUUUUUUUUUUUUGAGUCUUUUUGAAGACUUUUUUUGACCACACCUGUGGCAUGCAGAAAUUUCUGGGCCAGGGAUAGAACCCAUGCCAUAGCAGAAACCAGAAAUGCCAGGUCCUUAACACACUGAGCCACCAGGGAACUCCCUGAAGAUAUUUAGAGGUUUCUAUCUAAGUUGGAAGAAUUUACAAUUAUUUGCUCUCAGCAUUAGCUCUGUGAUGGAGGGAAGGAAGCAAGUAUUGUUCAGUUUUCCAUUUUUUAAAGUGUCCACAAUUUAAUAUUAAAGUAACAACUCUGAAACAACUUAUUUUGUAACAACAAGAACAAACAGGUAUCCUAUUUAUUUAUCCUACAAUAAAUAGCUACAAGGUGUAUGCAUGAUACUAUAUUGUUGAUAACAUAGAUUGCUUGGAGUGUUGUCUCAAUUCCAGAAAUCCUGGUUUUGUCUCCAAGUCUUAGUCUGAUUUAUGUGUCUAUGUUAAGAUCACUACUGCCUUUUGCUUCACUUUCUCCCCACUUUUACUUUCACUCAUUCAUUCACUGGCUGUUGACCAUGUGGUACCAGGCUCUGAAGAUAGAAAGAACAAUAUUUGAGCUGCAGCUCGAAAAGUAGUUUGGUCCUAUCCAUGCUUGGUCCCUACUCCCAUGGAGCUCAUACCCUAGCUAGGGAGACAGACAGCAAACAGGUGAAAUACAUGCGUGAGAAGGAUCAUCACAGCUUUGGGCUCCUAUGAUCAGAGACUCUAGUUGCUGAGAUCUGAAGGAUGAGCAAGAACCAGCCAUGCGUCCUCUGCAGAGACUGCCCCUGAGCAGGAAAUGCCUUGCAGAUCUGAGAAGCGGAAGGCGGUCAGGAGUUCAGCACGGAUGAGGAGUGGGCAGAGUGGGAAAAGGUGAGGCUGGAGAGGUGGGCAGAAGCCACAGGAUGCAGGCAGAGGGAGGAAGUCUGGAAUUUAGUCCAGGAGCAGGAAGACCCUGCAUGGCUUAGGCAGGGGCGGGCCGGUGAAAGCAGAGGGAGCGUAUUCAGGAUCACGGGGCUGC
rnacentral:lncRNA from 1 species